AGAGUUUGAUUAUGGCUCAGGAUGAACGCUGGCGGCGUGCUUAACACAUGCAAGUCGAACGAAGCAACUUAUUACGGAUCCCUUCGGGGUGACGAUUUGUUGACUGAGUGGCGGACGGGUGAGUAACGCGUGGGUAACCUGCCUUGUACAGGGGGACAACAGUUGGAAACGACUGCUAAUACCGCAUAAGCGCACAGCUUCGCAUGAAGCAGUGUGAAAAGUUUUUCGGUACAAGAUGGACCCGCGUCUGAUUAGCUAGUUGGUGAGGUAACGGCCCACCAAGGCGACGAUCAGUAGCCGACCUGAGAGGGUGACCGGCCACAUUGGGACUGAGACACGGCCCAAACUCCUACGGGAGGCAGCAGUGGGGAAUAUUGCACAAUGGGCGAAAGCCUGAUGCAGCGAACCGCCGCGUGAGCGAAGAAGUAUUUCGGUAUGUAAAGCUCUAUCAGCAGGGAAGAUAAUGACGGUACCUGACUAAGGAGCACCGGCUAAAUACGUGCCAGCAGCCGC
rnacentral:rRNA from 1 species